rnacentral:rRNA from 1 species
AAGCCUGAUCCAGCCAUGCCGCGUGUGUGAAGAAGGCCUUUUGGUUGUAAAGCACUUUAAGCGAGGGGGAGGCUACUUGGAUUAAUACUCUAGGAUAGUGGACGUUACUCGCAGAAUAAGCACCGGCUAACUCUGUGCCAGCAGCCGCGGUAAUACAGAGGGUGCGAGCGUUAAUCGGAUUUACUGGGCGUAAAGCGUGCGUAGGCGGCUUUUUAAGUCGGAUGUGAAAUCCCUGAGCUUAACUUAGGAAUUGCAUUCGAUACUGGGAAGCUAGAGUAUGGGAGAGGAUGGUAGAAUUCCAGGUGUAGCGGUGAAAUGCGUANAGAUCUGGAGGAAUACCGAUGGCGAAGGCAGCCAUCUGGCCUAAUACUGACGCUGAGGUACGAAAGCAUGGGGAGCAAACAGGAUUAGAUACCCUGGUAGUCCAUGCCGUAAACGAUGUCUACUAGCCGUUGGGGCCUUUGAGGCUUUAGUGGCGCAGCUAACGCGAUAAGUAGACCGCCUGGGGAGUACGGUCGCAAGACUAAAACUCAAAUGAAUUGACGGGGGCCCGCACAAGCGGGGGAUCAUGUGGUUUAAUUCGAUGCAACGCGAAAAGCUUACUGGU